rnacentral:rRNA from 1 species
GUAGGGAAUAUUGCACAAUGGAGGAAACUCUGACGCAGCGACGCCGCGUGAGUGAUGAAGGCCUUCGGGUCGUAAAGCUCUGUCGCAGGGGAAUAACACAAUGAAGGUACCCUGUAAGAAAGGAUCGGCUAACUUCGUGCCAGCAGCCGCGGUAAGACGAGGGAUCCUAGCGUUGUUCGGAAUCAUUGGGCGUAAAGCGGAUGUAGGUGGCUAUGUAAGUCAGAUGUGAAAGCCUGGGGCUCAACCCCAGAAGUGCAUUUGAUACUGCGUAGCUUGAGUGUCGGAGAGGUUACUAGAAUUGUUGGUGUAGUGGUGAAAUACGUAGAUAUAAACAGGAAUACCGGAGGCGAAGGCGGGUAACUGGCCGAACACUGACACUGAGAUCCGAAAGCGUGGGGAUCAAACAGGAUUAGAUACCCGUGUAGUCC